rfam:Hymenobacter sp. CCM 8649 NODE_370_length_401_cov_424.464_ID_739, whole genome shotgun sequence.
AGCGAAGUAAGCAAGAGCACACGGGGGAUGCCUAGGGUCUCAGAGGCGAGGAAGGACGCGAUAAGCUGCGAUAAGCUGGGGGGAGG